ACGGCCGUGGCGCAGGUGGUAGAGCGUCGUCCACUAAUCGUAGGGUUGGUGGUUCGAUUCCCGGCCCGGGUGAC